AUGUCAUAAGCAUACCUAGGAGCAAAAUAGUCUGGUGGAGCAGCAGAGGAACAAUUUCAGCUAUUUGGACUCAGCUCAGCCACUACAGAGGAAACAGUGACUUCAACUCAAGAGCACGACCAACAUGGAGCGAGUCAGCGCUCUCAGCAGGCUGACAAACCUCACAGAAAAAAGGAAGAGAAAAUCUUACAGCUGUGAUGAGUGUAGGAAGGAUUUUACCCAGGCUAGAGGCUUAAAAAGACACCAACUCACCAACACAGUGAGUUAAACUUUACAGCUGCGACUUUUGUGGAACGUCUUUCAACGACAAACAGUACCGAAAAGUUCACCUACAGAUUCACACUGGAAAUGUUUACUGCUGUGAUCUGCUGUGGGAAACUGUUUACAAAAGAUGCACAGUUACAAUGACACAUGUUUACUCCCACCGAGGAGAGACCUUCUAAAUGUGACCUGUGUGAGAAGACGUUUAAAGCUCCACAUCACCUGAAAAACCACCAACAGAAAAACCACCACACUAGAAAGUAACUCUACAAGUGAAGUUACCAUGAGGUAUGCAUUUAUUUUUCAUACGUACAAGAGGCCAGUUCAAGGUGUGGGAGCCCAGCGCUUCAACUCCCAUCAUUCCAGGGCACGCUCUAUUAUAGAGCGUGCCCUGGAAUGAUGAAGACGAGGUUCCGGGCCAUCGUCCUUCAAGCGCUGGAGGUGCACCACACCUUUGUACCACAUGUCAUAACAGCAUGUGCUGUUCUACACAACAUCUGCCUCGGUGCUGAUGACGCUAUGGACCCGGAGGAUGCACCUGAGGAUGAUGUGCAAGAUGAGGGGGAGAUGGGUUUGGAGGCAGUCAGUGGUGCUCCCUGGCGGGACCAGCUAUCUGCUGAGGUGUCUGCCCCUGAGGAGCUACCCCAAGACCAUGGAUAUAUUU